rnacentral:rRNA from 1 species
GGCUCAGAGUGAACGCUAGCGGCGUGGUUAAGACAUGCAAGUCGAACGAUGAAGCCCAGCUUGCUGGGUUGAUUAGUGGCAUACGGGUGCGUAACACGUGAGCAACCUGCCUUGAAGUGGGGGAUAGCCCGGGGAAACCCGGAUUAAUACCGCAUGUGGUCCCGUUCCUCCUGGAGCGAUGACUAAAGUUUGUAAUGACACUUCAAGAGGGGCUCGCGGCCUAUCAGCUUGUUGGUGAGGUAAAGGCUCACCAAGGCUAAGACGGGUAGCUGGUCUGAGAGGAUGAUCAGCCACACUGGAACUGAGAUACGGUCCAGACACCUACGGGUGGCAGCAGUUUCGAAUCAUUCACAAUGGGGGAAACCCUGAUGAUGCAACGCCGCGUGGAGGAUGAAGGCCCUAGGGUCGUAAACUCCUGUCACCAAGGAACAAACGACAGGUUCAUAGCCUGUCCUGAGUUAACUUGGAGAGGAAGAGGUGGCUAACUCCGUGCCAGCAGCCGCGGUAAUACGGAGACCUCGAGCGUUACUCGGAUUCACUGGGCGUAAAGAGUAUGUAGGCGGUUUGGUAUGUCAGGUGUGAAAUCCCGGAGCUCAACUCCGGAACUGCGCCUGAAACUACUAAACUUGAGGCCUGGAGAGGGGAGUGGAAUUCCUGGUGUAGCGGUGAAAUGCGUAGAUCUCAGGAGGAACACCAAUGGCGAAGGCAGCUCCCUGGACAGGUUCUGACGCUGAGAUACGAAAGCGUGGGUAGCGAAAGGGAUUAGAUACCCCUGUAGUCCACGCCGUANACUUUGUACACUAGGUNUCGGAGGGCCUACCCCUUCGGAGCUCAAGCUAACGCGUUAAGUGUACCGNCUGAGGACUACGGCCGCAAAGCUAAAACUCAAAGGAAUUGACGGGGGCCCGCACAACCGGUGGAGCAUGUGGCUUAAUUCGGAUGCAACGCGAAGA